GGAAGUGGCGGCGUGCCUAUACAUGCAGUCCGAGCGAAUGGAUUAAGAGCUUGCUCUUAUGAAGUUAGCGGCGGACGGGUGAGUAACACGUGGGUAACCUGCCCAUAAGACUGGGAUAACUCCGGGAAACCGGGGCUAAUACCGGAUAACAUUUUGAACCGCAUGGUUCGAAAUUGAAAGGCGGCUUCGGCUGUCACUUAUGGAUGGACCCGCGUCGCAUUAGCUAGUUGGUGAGGUAACGGCUCACCAAGGCAACGAUGCGUAGCCGACCUGAGAGGGUGAUCGGCCACACUGGGACUGAGACACGGCCCAGACUCCUACGGGAGGCAGCAGUAGGGAAUCUUCCGCAAUGGACGAAAGUCUGACGGAGCAACGCCGCGUGAGUGAUGAAGGCUUUCGG
rnacentral:rRNA from 1 species